GCACUACAACUGACACUGCAGUAAGGAAGAAUUUGGACAUCGAUUGCUGGAAAAAUAUGGACAGCAUAAGCGAGGCCAGUUCUGGAAGGAAUUUCAGCUUCACUUCAGGAGGUUCAGCUCAACAAUUUCUGAAGCACAAAGCAGAUGAAUUCAGAAUAAGCAGCAAGUUCUGAUGCCCACAAUUCAGGAAGGAUGUUGACAAAUCAGAGGGGGUUCAGAGAAGAGCCACAACAAGAAUUCAAGGAUAGAGAUUUAUAGUGAGACUCAAGCAGCCAGACCAGCCAUCAGUGAGGAGUGAUCCACCCCAUCAGAGGCAGCCGCCCGACCCUGGGGGAAUCGCAAGUGCAGGAGGGUCCACAAGGACCUCAUAAGAGAGCAUGAGACAAUCCUGCAUGACAUGCAGCAAACCCUGGCCCAGAAGGUCCAGGAUGGUGCCCAGUGGAAGACCCGCAGAUGAGACCAGCUUGUGGGGCAGGGCAACAAUAUUUGUGCCACCAUCAGAGAAAUGAUGGCACACCCGGCUCCUGUCCUUGCUCCUGACGCCCAGCCUCCUCUGCUGUGCCUCUGCCCCCUUCCCAUGUCCCUCUGCCAUCCCUGACCCCACUUCAG